UCUCGGGUGACGAGUGGCGGACGGGUGAGUAAUGUCUGGGGAUCUGCCCGAUAGAGGGGGAUAACCACUGGAAACGGUGGCUAAUACCGCAUAACGUCGCAAGACCAAAGAGGGGGACCUUCGGGCCUCUCACUAUCGGAUGAACCCAGAUGGGAUUAGCUAGUAGGCGGGGUAAUGGCCCACCUAGGCGACGAUCCCUAGCUGGUCUGAGAGGAUGACCAGCCACACUGGAACUGAGACACGGUCCAGACUCCUACGGGAGGCAGCAGUGGGGAAUAUUGCACAAUGGGCGCAAGCCUGAUGCAGCCAUGCCGCGUGUAUGAAGAAGGCCUUCGGGUUGUAAAGUACUUUCAGCGGGGAGGAAGGCGAUGCGGUUAAUAACCGCGUCGAUUGACGUUACCCGCA
rnacentral:rRNA from 1 species